rnacentral:lncRNA from 1 species
UUCGAUUAGGAAGAACAUUAUCAUCCGGUAGCAUUUCUCUCAUAAGGGCCAACAACUCUGUGAAACUUUUAUCCGACCAUCCAUUACCCGCCUUUAAGUUGUACAACUUUAAUACCGCAGAAAGUCUUGAGAAUUUAGUGCAACCUUUGUACAACGGUUUCUCAGCAUCGCUUACCAUCCUCUCAAACAUUUCAGGAAAUCAUGAAGAUCUUCUUCCAGUGCUUCUACAAUCUCUUCAACUCGAUCACAAUCGUAUGUUUCCGUGUCUUUGUCGUAUGAAGCAUAGGUCGUACUACUUU